AUGCAAGUCGAACGGGCCUGCUCUGGUUUUUYUGGGGUGGGUGAGUGGCGAACGGGUGAGUAACACGUGAGUAACCUGCCCUCUUCUUGGGGAUAACGGUCUGAAAGGGCUGCUAAUACCGGAUGUUCACUGUCUGUCGCAUGGUGGGUGGUGGAAAGAGGCACUGUUGUGGUGUUUUGGUGGGGGAUGGGCUCGCGGCUUAUCAGCUUGUUGGUGGGGUGAUGGCUUACCAAGGCUUUGACGGGUAGCCGGCCUGAGAGGGUGACCGGUCACAUUGGGACUGAGAUACGGCCCAGACUCCUGCGGGAGGCAGCAGUGGGGAAUUUUGCACAAUGGACGGAAGUCUGAUGCAGCGACGCCGCGUGAGGGAUGGAGGCCUUCGGGUUGUAAACCUUUGUUGCCCUUGACCAAGG
rnacentral:rRNA from 1 species